AGCUUGAUGAAAUUAGGAGGGAGCUG
rnacentral:piRNA from 1 species